CUGUAAGAGCCAGCAUGCGGGACCGGCUUUACAAGGUUUCACUGCACAUCACAGACCGGAGUCUCUGCUACUGUGGACCACGAAGGAGGCGAUCAUCAUCCCCAUCCCCAAAGACCCUGCAUGGCAUGGAAAUCUCCUCCUCCUGGAAAAAUUCUACACCCAGCAUAUGCUCCCUGUGUUGGCCAGUAGAGAGGAGGACAUUUAAAUAAACAUACUCUUAACACCCUCGGA